rnacentral:tRNA from 1 species
AAUUUAUAUAGUUUAAUUAAAAACACUACAUUUUCAUUGUAUAAUUAGAUAUAAUCUUAUAAAUA